UACGUAGGGACCAAGCGUUGUCCGGAAUCAUUGGGCGUAAAGAGCGUGUCGGCGGCUUGUUAAGUCUUGCGUGAAAUCUCGGGGCUCAACCCCGAGCGGUCGUGAGAAACUGGCAGGCUAGAGUGCGGGAGAGGAGAGUGGAAUUCCUGGUGUAGCGGUGAAAUGCGCAGAUAUCAGGAAGAACACCCGUGGCGAAGGCGGCUCUCUGGAACGCAACUGACGCUGAGACGCGAAAGCGUGGGGAGCAAACAGG
rnacentral:rRNA from 1 species